UUCGACACACUAUCAUUAACUGAAUCCAUAGGUUAAUGAGGCGAACCGGGGGAACUGAAACAUCUAAGUACCCCGAGGAAAAGAAAUCAACCGAGAUUCCCCCAGUAGCGGCGAGCGAACGGGGAGCAGCCCAGAGCCUGAAUCAGUGUGUGUGUUAGUGGAAGCGUCUGGAAAGGCGCGCGAUACAGGGUGACAGCCCCGUACACAAAAAUGCACAUGCUGUGAGCUCGAUGAGUAGGGCGGGACACGUGGUAUCCUGUCUGAAUAUGGGGGGACCAUCCUCCAAGGCUAAAUACUCCUGACUGACCGAUAGUGAACCAGUACCGUGAGGGAAAGGCGAAAAGAACCCCGGCGAGGGGAGUGAAAAAGAACCUGAAACCGUGUACGUACAAGCAGUGGGAGCACGCUUCGGCGUGUGACUGCGUACCUUUUGUAUAAUGGGUCAGCGACUUAUAUUCUGUAGCAAGGUUAACCGAAUAGGGGAGCCGAAGGGAAACCGAGUCUUAACUGGGCGUUAAGUUGCAGGGUAUAGACCCGAAACCCGGUGAUCUAGCCAUGGGCAGGUUGAAGGUUGGGUAACACUAACUGGAGGACCGAACCGACUAAUGUUGAAAAAUUAGCGGAUGACUUGUGGCUGGGGGUGAAAGGCCAAUCAAACCGGGAGAUAGCUGGUUCUCCCCGAAAGCUAUUUAGGUAGCGCCUCGUGAAUUCAUCUCCGGGGGUAGAGCACUGUUUCGGCAAGGGGGUCAUCCCGACUUACCAACCCGAUGCAAACUGCGAAUACCGGAGAAUGUUAUCACGGGAGACACACGGCGGGUGCUAACGUCCGUCGUGAAGAGGGAAACAACCCAGACCGCCAGCUAAGGUCCCAAAGUCAUGGUUAAGUGGGAAACGAUGUGGGAAGGCCCAGACAGCCAGGAUGUUGGCUUAGAAGCAGCCAUCAUUUAAAGAAAGCGUAAUAGCUCACUGGUCGAGUCGGCCUGCGCGGAAGAUGUAACGGGGCUAAACCAUGCAC
rnacentral:rRNA from 1 species